GCAUAUCAAUAAGCGGAGGAAAAGAAACUAACAAGGAUUCCCCUAGUAACGGCGAGUGAAGCGGGAUGAGCUCAAAUUUAAAAUCUGAUAGUCUUUGGCUGUCCGAGUUGUAAUCUAGAGAAGUGUUUUCCGCGUUGGACCAUGUACAAGUUUCCUGGAACGGAACGUCAUAGAGGGUGAGAAUCCCGUCCUUGACAUGGACUACCAGUGCUUUGUGAUACACUCUCAACGAGUCGAGUUGUUUGGGAUUGCAGCUCAAAAUGGGAGGUAAAUUCCUUCUAAAGCUAAAUAUUGGCGAGAGACCGAUAGCGAACAAGUACCGUGAGGGAAAGAUGAAAAGCACUUUGGAAAGAGAGUUAAACAGUACGUGAAAUUGUUAAAAGGGAAACGAUUGAAGUCAGUCGCGUUUACUUGGACUCAGCCUUACCUCGGUUUGGUGCAUUUCCUUGUGAACGGGCCAGCGUCAAUGUUGUUCGUUGGAAAAGGGUUAGAGAAAUGUGGCUCUUUCGGGAGUGUUAUAGUCUCUGAUCGUAUACAACGGCUGAUAUUGAGUGGUACAGCAUGCUUCGGCGGUGCUUGUGCUGGCAUAAUGGCUUUAAACGACCCGUCUUGAAACACGGACC
rnacentral:rRNA from 1 species